UGGAAACAUCUGUUUGGGAAGUGGAAGAUCAUCUGUAUGCUGGUUUCAUGUGUGUGUGUGUGUGUGUGUGUGUGUGUGUGGAGGGUCUCUAACCGACAUGGAUGUGGUUGGUGCUUUGACUUUAUCAUUUUAAAGUGGCUCGAUGGCACUAUUUCUCCUUUAUAGAGCGGCAGAGUGGCAGUGAUGGUUGUGACCUGCUGCCCUCUGAUUGGUCAGAAACUGUCCUCGCAAAACUCCCAUUGGGGAAGGAUACAUGUCACUCAUAUCUGUUGUCAACGUUGACUCAAAAGGCCUACAGGACUGUAGUAAAAAAAAGAAAAAAGUAACACACAAUAAAAUGCAAACCGAUUGCGUGUACCCGUAGAGAGAAGAGAAGGAGGAAAAGAAGUCGUGUUUUGCCUCCGGUCAAUGCGGCUGCUGCUCAACUCUUCAGUCUAUUUAAAUGUACUGUAUCUAUAUUCUACCCGCAACAACUCUUCAUUCCAUGUCACGUUACGAUCUCCUAAUGAUAACGCUCAUGUCUUCGUUGCGGCACUUUUGAUUGAGUCUUGGCGUCUACAUGAAGACGAGUGGCGCGGUGUCCUGUAGUGCUUUUGUGACAGCAACAUUAACUCUAGAAGGAGAGACGCCACAUACAAAAUGAGACAAAGCCCUUUGUGAAAGGAUUUAAUUUAUUGUCAAAUCCUUGAUCAUUUAACUUGUCAAAAUAUUGAAUGCCGUUUAGGAAAUGGUUGCUUGGCUUCUUCUGAAGAUGGACCCUUUCAAUAUGCAAAGCAUGCCAUGCGUUAGCAUGCGUUUAGCAAAUGAAACUUUAAUGGAUAGUUGGAAAGUGGCUUCAGAGCUUUGACAGCUGUAACACCAAAUGAUUUAACAUGAGAUGCUUUCAUUCAGGAGACUUUAUUCUGCUUCAUUUACGUUCAAGCUCUUGCUUCAAUGUUGUGAUAUGAUAACUCUCCAAAGCGCGUGCAAUCUGCAAAGUCCUCUCUCCUUUCAUUUAAAAAUCAGAGGUAAAACAACCCCAGCCACACUGCAACGUCUGGCAUCCACUUCCACGCGUCUUGGUUACGACAACAGAUGAAUCAAAGAUGUCCUCUGUCUGCCGUAAUACAUAUUUGAUCAUACCCGAAGAUCUAAUCCAGUGGUUGCACCUCAUCAAUGAUUGACAGUCUCGGCGAGGUAGCAGUUUAUAUUUCCUCCUCUAGCAACAGGAGACUGUCUCUGUAACUGGCCACCAUGUUAGAGGACAUUCGUUGAUCCAGCUCAGCAGCUGCUACAGUUGUAUAAAGAGUGAAUUACCUACUGAGCGCUGUGGAGCAACCAAUACACA
ensembl:lncRNA